rnacentral:rRNA from 1 species
AUUGAACGCUGGCGGCAGGCCUAACACAUGCAAGUCGAGCGGAUGAAGGAGCUUGCUCCUGAUUCAGCGGCGGACGGGUGAGUAAUGCCUAGGAAUCUGCCUAUUAGUGGGGGAUAACUCGGGGAAACUCGGGCUAAUACCGCAUACGUCCUACGGGAGAAAGUGGGGGAUCUUCGGACCUCACGCUAAUAGAUGAGCCUAGGUCGGAUUAGCUAGUUGGUGAGGUAACGGCUCACCAAGGCGACGACCCGUAGCUGGUCUGAGAGGAUGAUCAGCCACACUGGAACUGAGACACGGUCCAGACUCCUACGGGAGGCAGCAGUGGGGAAUAUUGGACAAUGGGCGAAAGCCUGAUCCAGCCAUGCCGCGUGUGUGAAGAAGGUCUUCGGAUUGUAAAGCACUUUAAGUUGGGAGGAAGGUCUGUAAGCUAAUACCUUGCAGUCUUGACGUUACCAACAGAAUAAGCACCGGCUAACUCUGUGCCAGCCGCCGCGGUAA